rnacentral:lncRNA from 1 species
GUCUGUAUUUCCGCCGGCGCGAAACGAGCGUAGCUUCCUUGUCGUGUGGCCUCAGUCCUUCGCCGUCCCUCGCCGUCCUUCGCCAUCGCACGCCACCGCACCCCAUCUCUCGAAAUCUGCAGACAUCUUGAUUUUUCCCACGCUGUCUGUCAGGUCUCCGCCGCCACUCGACGCCAGGGCGCCGGGCCUUGUGGGCUGUGCUGCACCUCGGACGGCUUCGCACCAGCCAGCGCCCUCUCUCUCCUGCAGCACUCUGAUCUGCACCCCCUGAGGGGCUUCCACUGUCCGCGGGGUGAGAAUGCCCCUGGGAGUGUCACAUGACUGCCGCCCCAUGUGUGUGAGAGGCGUCCUCUGGGAGAGCAUGGAUCCUGAGGUCCCAGGAUUGUCAGCUGACCUCUGUCCUGUGUGCCCAGUGGCCCCAGGUGACGUGUCUUCAAGAAGAGGCUGAGCUGCGGUGCUUGUAAGAGUCAUGUGCUGUUCCUGGGGCUUGGAUGAUGUAGGGGAAGCAAGGUGAAAGUGGUAUCCCGUGGUUCCACGUUCUGUCCUGCUGUGGGGCUGUCCCUCACAUGCUUUCAGUGGCUGUUGCAGAGGAAGAGCCUCCGGAAAUCUGCGUGGGUCUCAGCCUUAGAUCCAAGGACAGUCCAAGGAAGUCCUAAGACCAUGGAGUUGGUGAUCUGGGAUCUGGGUUUGCUGAUAUUUCUCACCGUGAAUCUCUUGGUGGUGUUUGUGGGCACGAGAGGGGCAGAGAAUGGAGAGUGAGGCUACCACAUGAAGCGUCACCAGAGCUGCUCCCUGCUGCCUGCUCAGAGCACCCCGGAUCCACUGUUCAAUCUGCACAAGAUUCGGGGUCCAGACAUGGGAGACUUCAGCUGCCUCAGAGGACCGUGGACAGGGAAGGCCAGCCUCGCAUCCCUCUGUCCAUGCCUGGAAUGACUUUAAUAACCAAGAGUUUUAUUUUUGAAUUUGUAGCUGUCGUUCACUUUUUACCCACCCAUUCAAUAAACCUUACAGAAUUGCUCCA